GUGUUGCAGAUAAGGUAUAUGUAAGAAUCAAGUACUUGGACUAUAAAUACUUUAAAAGGUCUUUAUUUUUUCCUGCUUUUUUGUUUGUUUUUGGUCAUUUUUGUUUGUUUUGCUUUCAGCAAGAAUCAAUUUCAAGCAGUUAUAUAAUGUAAAUGGAGUUAAUGCCCACCCCUCAAGUUAGGGAAUGCAAGUUAGUCCAUAGCACCAGAGUAGGAAACUUGCAAAGAGAAUAGAAAAGCAGUUUUUACGCUAUAAUAAUAACAAUAAAAGAAACACAAUUUAUCAGGAAGGACCCACACAGCUUUGCCAAAAUGAAUCUACACUGUAUUUUCCCACCCUGAGCUGAAUGGGGUCUAUAAUUUACCCAUGGUGCAUAUUGCUCUCAUUAGCUGUAGCAUAAAAGAUUUUGUACUAGGCUUGUCUUGUUGAGCUGUAAUAGGUGUAGGCUGUGAUGAAUAGGAAAUAAUGCUGGUUUGCAGGAGCAUACCUGCUGCAUUUCUUAACCCUCUGUUCCAUUUCCUCCAACUGUAUUGCACUGACCAUUUUUCUAUGUAUGUGUUUUGGGUUUUUUUUUUUGUUUUUUUUUUUUUUUUUUUUUUUUGAAACAAGAUUGUAACUGGUUAGGAGAACCUUUAAUUAACUUCUGUUUUGUAUAUUACAGGGGUCCUUUAUACUGAUGGCACUGAAAGUGAAUUAUGCCAAAAAGAAUAACAUAUUUUGGAGGUUUUUUUGUAAUUUAGCACAUUUUGCAUUACACUUCUCACUAAUAAAUUAUAUUAAACAGGAUACAGUUUAAAUAAUAUGUUUGUACAUAAUGAUAUAUUCAAUGUGGUAAUGUAGAGGAUAUACUAAACAACAUAGUUAGUUGUAACAUAAUAUAUUGUAUCAUGGGAGUGCAUAUUAUGGAAUGAAUAGUUCAAGUGCAAAGGGAAUUCAGUUUGGUGUUAGUGAUAGGAAAUAUUUUGUUAAGUUUGUGUUAGAAGUGUCCAAAGUGUCACAGGCUUCUUAUGAGACUAUAUGAGAUCCUCUGUGCAUAAUUCUAACCAUGAACUCUGACACUUUAAAAAUUACUUAUUUUCAGAGAUGAGAAUUUUGACAAUGUUUUAUCCUAAGGAAUGUAGUCAUCCAUUUGAAUUGUUACAUAUUGUUUGAAUUGAACAUAAUUGUUUCAUUGUUUAUUUUUUGCAUUGUUUACUGAUGAAAAAUGCAAAUAUUUGCUGAUAAUCUGAAGGCAUUUUCUAGUGUGCUUUAAGAUCAGUUUCUAAUUACUCCUUUCAGCCAGUGUAGAUGGUGUUCCUCAAAUAUGUAGUACACUCUUCAUUUCAUAUAGCACUGAAAGGCACCAUGCUGCUUAAAAUAUGCAGUGUCAAAACACUCCACCAUUUAUGUAAUACUUCACUGAUUUGACAAUUGCAAUUCCAAAUGUUAAUGAAGCAUCAUGAACAUUUUCUCUAGUGGUAGUAUUUGAGACAUUGAAAAAAAUGGUUUAUGCUCUGUGAAAAAUCAAGAUUAAAAAAAGUGAAGCUAUUUCUAGGUAAAGCAGCACUUCAGAUUUUAUGAAUUCUCUUAAAAAUCAGCUAGAGUUUAAUCAGCCUUUUUUUCAUCUGAUGCCUCUUUUUGAAGAAAAGCAAAUUUGGGGAGUAUGUGAUAACUUUAAAAAAUACUUUUAAAAAAGCAGGAUUGCCAUAUUUCAUAGGAAGUAAAAGGAAAUAUUUUGACUGUGUAAGGUGGUCUCUAUUUUCCCCACACCUCAGGUGUAUAACAAUAAAGGUGAAUAUAUUAUCAAACUAAUUUUAGGAACCUAAUAUUUUAUUAUUUUAUUGUUUAAGUCUACUGAAAACAAACCCUGCAGCCUCCAAAACAAAAUUUGGAAAAUAACUUUUCCAUUUUUCCUUUCUUAAUAGCACUGUAAAUACAAUUUUUGAUGUAUCUUGCCUAUUUCUAUUUUUAAUCUGUUAGUCUGACAAAGCUUAUUUCUGAAUCAAUUAUUUGAACAUUGCUUCUCCUUUUAAUUACUUUGUGAAUCUUUGUUUCUGGAAGUGUAUUUGUUGUACAAAUGUAGUCAUCCCUAUUCCUGGGAGCAAUCAGUAAACACCAUACUUUAAGUUCCACUUUGCAGAUAAACAUAUUUAUAAAGAAUGUUCUGGAUGUACAUGUACAACCCAUUAUCCUUUAGUAUAUGAAGCCCAAUUAUAUUCCUAUUGAUGUGGUAAAAUGAUAAACUGAUAAUUUUUUUCUUUCUUAAAUGUUUAGAUUAUACUUAGGGGUAAUGGCUCCAUCCUAUGGUGGAAGAGAAACCUGCAUCAAAUCAAUUAGCCUAAUCAGUUGAACGCUAGAGCCCUGUGCUGUUCCAUUAAGGUAAUACUUCUGAGGGUGAGUAAAUGGGUUUUUUUGAAUGGGUACCAAAAUUGAAUGGUGCUUGGAACAUUGACCUCCAUGCUUUGAGUAUAGUGUAUGGAAGAGAGCAGUAUGAAAACCAGCAUUUAUGCUUACUACUGAUGAUAGUAGGAAAAAGGAGUCUAAAAGUCCAGAAUGCAAAGUAUUUCCUGUAACAUAAUACAGAGAUAAUUUUGCUAUUGCUGAGCAGGGCUUACACAGAGCCAAGGCCUUUUCUGCUUUCCUUAUUGCCACACUGGUGAGGAAACUGCAGGUACGUGGCAGGUUAGGAGGAGGCACAGUCAGGGCAGGUGACACCUACUGACCAAAGGGAUGUUCCAGACCAUGUGCCAUCAUGCUCGGUAUAUGAAAGGGGGGAAGAAGGAGGGGAGGUUGGGAGUGAUGGUGUUCAUCUUCCAAGUCAUUGUUACACAAGAUGGAGCCCUGCUUUCCUGGAGACAGCUGAACACCUGCUUGCUUGCCCAUGGGAAGGGAUGAAUUAAUUUCUUGUUUUGCUUUGCCUGUGUGCAUGACUUUUGCUUUCCCUAUUAAACUUAUCUUUCUCUCAACCUAUGCAUUUUCUAGCUUUUACCUUUCUGAUUCUUUCCCCAGUCUUGCUCAUGGGGACUGAGUGAGCAGCUGCCUGGGGCUGGGUUCCUGGAUGGAGUUAAAACAUUAAAAAAUAUUAUAUGAAUUUAUAUUAUGUUAACCUUUAUUAAAUUGAGAUCCUGCUACAUAUUGGGUAGACAUGGCUCAUUUGAGAAAUACCUUUUCAUUUUCCUGUUCUAGAGUUGCUUUCUGUCUAAAAGGCAUGGGCUAGUAUGGUCUCCAGGUCUUAUUAUUUCCUUAUUUGAGACUGACAGCAGGAAUGGCAAUUAACUGUGACUGUCAUCUGGCCACUUCUACAACAGGGGCUACUAUGUCAUCAUGCAUAGGCUACUGAACAGCUGUUAGAUGGUAAAUGGUUACUGCCCAUUUAUGUUGGAUGCAAACAAGUCAGCUCUGAAUGAAAGCCUUCAGCUCCUGUUAUUGAUCUGUUGUCAUUCAGGUCCCUUCUGUUUUCAAAACUGAAAACCACAGAUUUUUAAAAAAUCCGUUUACCUGAUCUGUAACUGUAUUAUAUUUUCUGCAAGAAUUACUCUGUAUGUAUUUUUCCCAAACUCUGUAGAAUGUGACAUAGAGAACAACUGUUCUAAGUCAAACUUUUUUCAGUCUAAUUUUUAUAUAAAAAGGAAAAAUAACGCCUUUAUGACAUUAAAUAGAAAAAAUAAAAUAUUAAAAUUCUGUUUCUUUAUGUACUGUCCCAAUUGCUCCUUUUGAGGCAGACUCAAUUUUUGUGAUAAAACCUGUGCUUAGAAGUUGAUGGCUUCUACAACAUACUACCUGUCAGUGUGAGUACCAAAUUGACACUGAGAUUGUCUCACCAGUUGUGCUGUAGUCUGUCCAGAUGAUGUAUUACAUAGAAGUCCUUGGCAUCAACGUAAGAAAUGUCUUCUUACUGCUUUGAAUAUUGAAUUUGACCCGUUUAAGGCUAAGUAAGCACCAUUACAAUUUCUCAAAUGUGUUUUAUUUUGGCAAUUCAUACUUCCAUUGCAAGUAUAACCACUGAUGUGGAUGGAUAAUGGGAAGUAGGUAGGGAGGAGAAACUAGAAGGAAAAUGGAUAUUUUCAAUUAAAUAUGUGGUUGAGAAAUAUUCUAUGUCUUUCAGCAGGAUUGACAGGACGGAAAUUGAGACCUCUUUGACAGUUUGUUUUGUGCUCUUUAUGUAAUGUACUAUUUUUUCCUUACCAUUUACUAUGAAACCAGUACUGGGGCCAUGGAGUAGAGCUCUGCUGCUCCAGCUAAGGGUAUGAGCAUGAGAUGGAUUAGAUUUUCUUUUACUGGGGUCCUGUUAAUCUUUUGGUCUUUCCUUGCUGAUGCCCCUGAAGAAGUAGUAGAAAGACCUUCACUGAGGUUAGCCCUUAGGGAUCGGUAUUUUCCCACUCAUUCUUCUCUGCUAGAAGGGGAUGGUAUGAAAUAUCUCAGUUUUUAAGGUGUAAUUUAGUGCUUUCUUAGAGUGCUCUAACCAGAAGGCUAUUACAUGAAAAAACCCACAUUGACAGCUAGUCCAGCAUCUGGCAUGUCAAAUAUUGUUUGUUAGUGGUGUGCAUUGAAUGUUGUCAAUAACUCAAAAAUGAACUUGGAUACUGAGCUUCAUAUAGAAGUGUUAGAUAUAUAGGCAAAUCCAGGCAGGUUUGAUUAGCCACAAUCUUCCUGGUCUGCAUAUUCUUUGUUGCUAAAUUCAAACUAGAAUGUUUCCACGCUUGAUCUCAUGUUUGAUCAGGUGUGCUGUUCCACUGCUGGGCUGGGAAUCUAUUUUUUUUUCCCUGUGUUUAAGUCUAAGUUAGACUGCUUUUUGGACAGAUGGUUGGCAAAUUUGCUUAUUGUCAAUGUUUUGAAAGUCAUCUCUUCCUGCAUUUAUGUUAGCCCUACAAAUAGGAAAAUGUUAUGUGGUGACUAUUUGAAAAUAUAUGAACCGUAUUUAGACUAUUUUCCAAUAUUUUUGGUAUAGAGGUUUACUUCAAAGAGUUUGUGCAUGCUUUUCAAAAAAGGGCUGUUCAUGAAUAACAAGUAAAAUGGUAGAGGGUUUUGCGUGUGAUGUGAUGCAUGUGAUGACCUUUGGAACUCUUCCAAACUUUAUGGCCUCUGUAUUAUUUUUAUCUCUGGACUGCUUCUUCAAACACUUGAUUGCUCUCAGAUAAGAGGAAAUCAUCUAACUGGAGUGAGGAGUAUAACUAUUUUUUAAAAGGGUCUCUGAGCAGCAACCCCUUUGGUUUUCUCCUGAGUAGCAUCCAGUUACUGAAUAUCAUCUGUGCUUUUGCAUGUCAUAGCACUUCUCUUUGUUGCCUGUGGAGAAGUACAGCAAUAAGGAAGUUGCUUCUCUGGAAGAAUGUGUUAUUUAUUUUGUCAAAUUGUAUCUUGUUGUUAGACAAAAUAUAAACUAUAUGUACAGAGACCUUAAAUUUUUCUUGUUACCGUGCCCAUCAAGGCUGUAGGUUGGUGUGACUUAUUUAUAGUUCUGAUGGUUUUUUUAGUUUGCUUAUAUAUGUUUGUUUAUUUUGUAUAUUUCUGCCUUGUGGAAUCACGGAAUGUUAUGUGAUGGAAGGGACUUUUAAUGGUCAGCUAGUCCCAAACUCCCUGCCAUGGUCAGGGCCACCUUCCUCUAGACCAGGUUGCUCAGAGCCGCAUUCCAGGGAUGAGAACUUUUCUGAGCAACCUGUUCCGGUUCCUCAAUGCACUCACAUUAAAGAGGUUCAUUCUUAUAUCUAAUCUAAACCUCUCUAUUUCAAUUUGAGGCUACUAAUAAUUUGAAAUAUUGCCCCUUAUCCUAUCACUAAAUGGCCAAAUAAAAGGAUUCUCUUGCAGCCUGAGUUAACUCAUGCCUUUAUCUGACCCUUGGCUUCAAGAAUCCUCCUCCACUGUUAUAUCUUGCUCUUCCAACGGGAGAGUGUUUUAACAGGGCAGGAUCUUAUGAUGUUUUUAGGAUCACAUACCUUACAUAAUAAAACAUCCUUCUGCCUUUGCCUGAAACUGACAGUAACAAUUUAUUCUAUAACCUCAUUGUUCAUUCUAGUGUUUGGAAGGUCUGAUAGUGGGACUGCCUCUGUUUUUGUUUUGUGUGGAGGUUAAUUCCAGAACAUAGUUAACAGAUGUGUCCUGUUUGUAUUUUCUGUACCAGAAACAGCCCAGAGUAAAAACACAGAACAGAAUGCCUGGAAGAUUGGAAAUAUUUCAGAUUGCAA